CCUACGGGUGGCAGCAGUAGGGAAUCUUCCACAAUGGACGAAAGUCUGAUGGAGCAACGCCGCGUGAGUGAAGAAGGUUUUCGGCUCGUAAAGCUCUGUUUGUAGGGAAGAAAGAUAUAGGUAGUAACUGGCCUUUAGUUGACGGUAAUUACUUAGAAAGGCACGGUUAACUACGUGCCAGCAGCCGCGGUAAUACGGAGGUGGCAAGCGGUGUUCGGAUUUAUUGGGCGUAAAGCGAGUGCAGGCGGUUAGAUAAUUCUGAUGUGAAAGCCUUAGGCUCAACCGGAGAAUUGCAUCAGAAACUGUUGAACUUGAGUGCAGAAGAGGAGAGUGGAAUUCCAUGUGUAGCGGUGGAAUGCGUAGAUAUAGGGAAGAACACCAGUGGCGAAGGCAGCUCUCUGGUCUGACACUGACGCUGAGGCUCGAAAGCAUGGGUAGCGAACAGGAUUAGAUACCCGGGUAGUC
rnacentral:rRNA from 1 species